UACAUCCUCAGCCUCGGAUGCUCCUUGA
rnacentral:sRNA from 1 species